rnacentral:SRP_RNA from 2 species
AUCAAGACGUACGGCAAUGGAGAGCUUAUGAAUCGAGUCAGAUCUGGAAGGAAGCAGCUAUAAGUAGGAUUCUCCAUGUGCGGUACAUUUUUUAUGAAA